rnacentral:lncRNA from 1 species
UUUUUCGUUUUGUUCUAUUUUGGUUACAAAAUUUAAUUUAUAAAACAUAAAACAAAUCAUCUUUUGAUAUUAAAUUAUUAAUUUUUCAUAUUUAAGCUUAAAUCCACAUAUCACAAUAAAAUGUAAAAGAUAUAAUCCAAUACUUUUGUAAUAAUUUUUUCGAAUCUAAUAUAAAUAUCAUAGGUAAUUUUUUGGUUUUGAUGAUAGUGUUGAGAUUCGUAUUCUU